rnacentral:lncRNA from 1 species
CUGCUAGCAGCGAGAAUAUAACCAUGCUAUGUCUGUAGAGAGAGCACAUUAGAUGGCACAAAGAGUGGACCUGAUGUUGUGGGAAUCACCAUGCAGCACCAGGUGAAAGCAACUAAGGGUUUCCAGCGUCGAGAGCAACAGUGUGAACGUGGCCACGCCUCCAGCCUCCCUGUCAGCUGAUUCCCGCUCUCAAGUGGUCAAGGCCCCGUGAAGUGCAGACCAGCACAGAAACACAGUAAAUACAGGGAGCCUGCCCACAUUUGCCUACACCCAAAGAAUCCAGAAGCUCAUCUAUGCCUCUGUUUAGGCGGUUCCACGUUCUGACUCCACCAGGCACAGGACUCUCAUUUGCUCAAAAAACCACAGUGCACAUGGAUCUGAAAAGUCAGCAGUAGCUUGAGAACUUGGAAGGAGAACAGAGAUGUGUAAAGCGUCAACUGGAAAAGAGGAAAGUCGAAAUGAGGAACAAAAAGUCUGAAGUCCUGAAAAUGAUACACAUUGCAGCCUCUUUGCCUUUCUUUUACUUCCUUUAUUGUUCUCACCUCAUCAUGAAUUAGAAUGUAAUGCAGGAGCAGCAUGACAGAUCUUGCCCACUGAGCCACUAAAGGAAAAGAAAUUACAAAAUUUUUAAAUGAAAAAUCAUGAAUAAGUAAAGCAAGAGACUAUUUCUCUCUGACAUAGCAGCCUGCCCUCACUGCCCUGCAUUCUCAGAGGGAGAUGGAGACAGAGACAGAGGAAUGAAGAAGCCCAAUGGAAUCCACUCACUGAUAAACAACCAAAGGUCAUUAGUUUCUGUAACAUAAGCUUCUAAUGAGACACAUCAUCAUCACUGAAUCCCCUGUGCCCAGCUCAGAAACCUCAAGCACAACAAGUGUUCAAUAGUUUAAGUAAAAGAGUUGAAUAGUAAAAUCUGUUCUUGGCAACAUAAAAAUUAUGUGCCUACUGAAGGUGAAAUGAUUGCCGUUGGGUAAUUCCUCCACCUCCUUAGACGAAAGAAAUGUUUGCUCUCAGCACCUGAGGGCUGUUGACAUUUUUGAUACCUGGGGACUGAGUCAGGAGAGCAGGAGGUCACCACUGAGGACUGAGGUCCUUCACGCAAACACUUUAGGAGCAAGGGUGACGGUCCUGAAGGAUAAAUUAUUUUGCCAACACGGAAAUAAACCCCUCCACAGAAAAUAAAUCCUCAGGAUUGAAGUCCUCAGGCUGUGGUGAGCCUGCCCUCAGUUCUUGAGUCCAGGAGAGUUCAGGAUGAGGCCUCUGUCACUGGGGAGGAGCUGUGAUGUG